rnacentral:miRNA from 1 species
UUGCGGUUUUGCUGGUACUGAGGU